rnacentral:rRNA from 1 species
GAUGAACGCUGGCGGCGUGCCUAAUACAUGCAAGUCGAGCGAACGGACGAGAAGCUUGCUUCUCUGAUGUUAGCGGCGGACGGGUGAGUAACACGUGGAUAACCUACCUAUAAGACUGGGAUAACUUCGGGAAACCGUAGCUAAUACCGGAUAAUAUUUUGAACCGCAUGGUUCAAAAGUGAAAGACGGUCUUGCUGUCACUUAUAGAUGGAUCCGCGCUGCAUUAGCUAGUUGGUAAGGUAACGGCUUACCAAGGCAACGAUGCAUAGCCGACCUGAGAGGGUGAUCGGCCACACUGGAACUGAGACACGGUCCAGACUCCUACGGGAGGCAGCAGUAGGGAAUCUUCCGCAAUGGGCGAAAGCCUGACGGAGCAACGCCGCGUGAGUGAUGAAGGUCUUCGGAUCGUAAAACUCUGUUAUUAGGGAAGAACAUAUGUGUAAGUAACUGUGCACAUCUUGACGGUACCUAAUCAGAAAGCCACGGCUAACGACG